GUGGGGAAUAUUGGGCAAUGGGCGAAAGCCUGACCCAGCCACGCCGCGUGAGUGAUGAAGGCCUUCGGGUUGUAAAGCUCUGUGGGGAGGGAAGAAAAAGCGGGAGAGUAACUGCUCUCGUGUUGACGGUACCUCCUUAGCAAGCACCGGCUAACUCUGUGCCAGCAGCCGCGGUAAUACAGAGGGUGCAAACGUUGCUCGGAAUUACUGGGCGUAAAGCGCGUGUAGGCUGACAUGCAAGUCGGGUGUGAAAUCCCAGGGCUCAACCUUGGAACUGCACUCGAAACUGCACGUCUUGAGUACUGGAGAGGGAAGCGGAAUUCCGGGUGUAGAGGUGAAAUUCGUAGAUAUCCGGAGGAACACCAGUGGCGAAGGCGGCUUACUGGUCCAUUACUGACGCUGAGGUGCGAAAGCGUGGGGAGCAAACAGGAUUAGAUACCCGUGUAGUCC
rnacentral:rRNA from 1 species